GUCAAAGAGGGUGAGAGUCCCGUCUUGGACCGCGGUAGGGCCUGUGUAAAACUCCUUCGAAGAGUCGACUUGUUUGGGAAUGCAGGUCAAAAUGGGUGGUAAAUUUCAUCUAAAGCUAAAUAUUGGCCAGAGACCGAUAGCGCACAAGUAGAGUGAUCGAAAGAUGAAAAGCACUUUGAAAAGAGAGUUAAACAGUAUGUGAAAUUGUUGAAAGGGAAGCGCUGGCAACCAGACUCGUGCGCGGGGUUCCCCCUUGCUUCUGCUUGGGUCACUUCCCCGUGUCCGGGCCAUCAUCAGUUUCGGGGGCCGGUUAAAGGCCCUGGGAAUGUACCCACGCCUUCGGGGGUGGACUUAUAGCCCAGGGUGUCAUGCGGCCACCCGGGACUGAGGAACGCGCUUCGGCGAGGAUGAUGGCGUAAUGGUUGUCAGCGGCCCGUCUUGAAACACGGACCAAGGAGUCUAACAUCUAUGCGAGUGUUCGGGUGUCAAACCCUUGCGCGGAAUGAAAGUGAACGGAGGUAGGAAGGCUUAAGCCUGCACUAUCGACCGAUCCUGAUGUCUUCGGAUGGAUU
rnacentral:rRNA from 1 species